CCUACGGGUGGCAGCAGUAGGGAAUAUUGCUCAAUGGGGGAAACCCUGAAGCAGCAACGCCGCGUGGAGGAUGAAGGCUUUCGGAUUGUAAACUCCUUUUGUUAGAGAAGAUAAUGACGGUAUCUAACGAAUAAGCACCGGCUAACUCCGUGCCAGCAGCCGCGGUAAUACGGAGGGUGCAAGCGUUACUCGGAAUCACUGGGCGUAAAGAGCGCGUAGGCGGGUUAGAAAGUCAGAUGUGAAAUCCUAAGGCGUAACCGUAAAACUGCAUUUGAAACUGUUAUUCUAGAGUAUAGGAGAGGUUGGGGGGAAUCGUGGUGUAGGGGUUAAAUCC
rnacentral:rRNA from 1 species